UAUGCGUUUGUGGACUUGGGGUCUCAGAGAGAGCAUUCUGUGUAUUUUACAUAAUGCCCUUUGAAAUCCUAAAUGUACAAGGGCUCA